rnacentral:lncRNA from 1 species
AGACGCUUCUGGGUCGCGGUAGGGAAGCGCUGUAGCCUGGCUGUGCGAGAGACGGGGAGAGCCCAGCGCCACAGCGACCUGGAGAAGGAUGGCGGCCACCGGGACCGCGGCCGCUGCGGCCACCGGCAAGCUUCUUGUCCUGCUGCUGCUCGGGCUCACGGCGCCCGCUGCGGCUCUGGCUGGCUACAUAGAGGUGAGGACCAGGCGAGCUCCCGAUCUGCGUCUCCUCCGGUCGCCCGGGAGCACGGCCUGUGGGCGGGCGUGGGACCGGGGGCGCGGCGCGAGGCUCGGCGCAGCGGCGGGUUGCCUUCCCCCCACCCCGCCCGCGCGCCUCAGCUUUGCGCAGAGCUUAGCGCCGAGGUCGGGCUGCCUCUGUCGCCGCAGAGGCCAAAUGAAAGGCGUCGGGGCUGCGGGGCCGCCCCAGCCCCCUACCCGCUGGCGGCGCCGCCGCAUCCUCGGGGACACCGCACCGCGCGCUCUCCCUCCCCCGGGGCCGUGCGCGCCUCAGCCGUGCGCCCUGCGGCCCCGCGGCGCUCUAAAUGGGGCGGCCUGCACCGGGUCCCCGGUGCCCGCAGCGGUCGGGGGCCUGGGCUUCGGGCUCGCACCUUGACGGUCGGCGCGCAGCAGUCGUUGACCAGGUGGACUUGGCAGCGGGGAUGCGGCUCCAGCCCUGGCGAGUGAUGCCGAGGGAGCGGGGAGAGGAGGCGCCGCCAGGGCAGCGGGGCGCUCUGCGCCCUCCCUUGCCUCCCAGUCGUUUGCACAAGUCUGGCAAACUAGGGAGCCCGGCUUUCCUCCUCCCAGGGGACGUUGAAGCUAUCCACCAGUACAUUUGGAAAGCUUCAGGGGGUACUUUACGUGGGUCAGGGUCACAGUGAUUGUUCUGCACCAGAGGUCACCCCCGUUAACCUGGUGAAGUCGUCUAGGGUCCCAGGUGGUUGGCGGGAGUUCAGGCCGCUGGAAGAGCCAGGAUGUCGGAUGUGGAACCCGUACUGCAGCUUGCUCUGCACCUAGCCUCCCCGCAAGAACCCUCUGUCGCCUAGGGAGACAUGGGACUUUAUUUUUACUUACUUUCUCGAAAUAAUGCUUGAACUGUAGGACUGGACUGUGUGUUUCUGGUGUUGUUUAUUUCUUCUUGCGCCUGCUUGUAUU